rnacentral:rRNA from 1 species
UCCGAAGGGGGCUAGCGUUGUUCGGAUUUCCUGGGCGUAAAGCGCACGUAGGCGGAUAUUUAAGUCAGAGGUGCAAUCCCAGGGCUCCACCCUGGACCUGCCUUUGCUACUGGAUGUCUUGAGUAUGGAAGAGGUGAGUGGAAUUCCGAGUGUAGAGGUAAAAUUCGUAGAUAUUCGGAGGAACACCAGUGGCGAAGGCGGCUCACUGGUCCAUUACUGACGCUGAGGUGCGAAAGCGUGGGGAGCAAACA